UACGUAGGGGGCAAGCGUUGUCCGGAAUCAUUGGGCGUAAAGCGCGCGUAGGCGGGUUGGCAAGUCCGCUGUGAAAGCCCGGUGCUUAACGCCGGAGGGUCGGUGGAUACUGCCAGUCUUGAAGGUGCUAGGGGAAGAUGGAAUUACCGGUGUAGCGGUGAAAUGCGUAGAUAUCUGGAGGAACACCGGUGGCGAAGGCGGCAUCCUGGACCGAUAUUGACGCUGAGGCGCGAAAGCCAGGGGAGCAAAGCGGG
rnacentral:rRNA from 1 species